UAUACUUAAUAAUGCUUGCUCCUUAUAUUCAAAGUGGUUUUACUUAACCCUAACUCAACGUACUUAUGUUUUAAAUUUGAUAAGUGUUUUUCAAAGAUACAAGGUGUAACAGAAACAUAAAGCUGGAAAUGGAGCAGCGGAUUCUAAAACAGAAUUGGAAAAAUAUCUUAGUGAAGAAAAUGAAGUUGAAAGGCCUAACUUUAAGAUCUUGUCUUGGUGGAAAAUAAACUCACCUCGAUUUCCUGUUCUUGCUGAGAUGGCUCGGGAUGUGUUAGCUAUUCCUAUUUCAAGUGUGACAUCCGAGUGUGCAUUUAGUACCGGAGGACGUAUUUUGGAUUCAUUUAGGAGUUCAUUGACUCCUAAAUUGGUGUAAGCACUAGUGUGCCUUCAAUAUUGGAUUCGGAGUGAAAAACAACCUGUGAGUGUUGAAGAAGAUCUAGAUAACCUCGAGCAGCUUGAACAAGAUUUGGCCAACUCUAGCAUUCUUGAUGAUUGACGUGGAGCGGUGGAGUCAGAACUCUUCAUUUUUGCACUUGGAUCUGAUGAAUUAGUUGUUCAUUUUUAAAGGUCUUUGGUUAGUGUUGCUGUAGUUUUUUGGAUCUUUGAAGUUCUUUGGCUUGGUGCUGCUUACUGCUUUAUUUUGUAUUUUGUAGUUUUGUUUUGCAUUUUAUAGCUUGUCUUGCAGCUGGUGUUUUCUUUCCGAAGAAGUUAGCCUUUUUUAUGAACAAAUGAACUAUGAACUGGCCUUGUUUUGUUUUUGAAAUAUUGCUACAAUGCAUUUUAUAGCUUUUGUCUUGUAAUUUGUGUCAAUUUUAUGCAUGAAGGCAGUGUAUAACUAUAUAUAUGAACAAAUGAAAACAAGAUAAAGCAAAAACAAUAAAAUAGCGGAGCAUUUUCUUAUUGGUUAAA